rnacentral:lncRNA from 1 species
UGCACUUCUGCAAUGGUUCAAGAGUUUAGAGAGCACCUUCAGACAUGUUCAAUGUCCAAACGAGCGAAAGAUGUCACAGGUAGAAUUCGCAUCUAGCGUCUUUGAGAAACGAGCUUUGACAUGGUGGAAUGGUGUGAUGAGAGAUAGGGGUGCCGAUGUGGCACUGGCUUAAACAUGGCAAGAGCUUCGAGCUCUGAUGAUGAAUGAAUUAUGUCCUCGUCACGAGAUCAGGGCCUUGGAAACGGAGUUCGACGAUCUUAUGCAAGUUAGCGGUGAGCAUCGAGCCUACACAGAUCGUUAUGAGGAGUUAAGUUUGUUAUGCCCGAAUAUGGUUACGCCUUUGGAUAAGGCAAUCGAAAAGUACAUUGAUGGCCUCCCUGACUCAAUACAAGACAUUGUGACUGGUAGCAACCCUACUACAGUUAGACAGGCCAUUGAGCUAUCUGCAACCUUGACUGAAUCAAAGAUCAGGAAAG